CCGGCGACCGGCGCACGGGUGAGUAACACGUAUGCGACCUGCCCCCCGCAGGGGGAUAACCGGGAGAAAUCCCGACUAAUACCGCGUAACGCCGCGGACCUGCAUGGGUCUGCGGCCAAAGGAAGCGAUUCCGGCGGGGGAUGGGCAUGCGGCGCAUUAGCUAGUCGGCGGAGUAACGGCCCACCGAGGCGACGAUGCGUAGGGGUUCUGAGAGGAAGGUCCCCCACACUGGUACUGAGACACGGACCAGACUCCUACGGAAGGCAGCAG
rnacentral:rRNA from 1 species